rnacentral:rRNA from 1 species
GACGAACGCUGGCGGCGUGCCUAACACAUGCAAGUCGAACGAGAAGUCCGGGUCUUGGGGCGCACGGGGGCGGAAGGCGUGGGAACCUGCACUUGGGUUCGGAAUACCUCCCCGAAAGGGGUGCUAAUAACAGAUAAUGUCUUAGGACCAAAGAUUUAUUGCCUUUGGGUGGGCCCGCGUUGGAUUCGGUAGUUGGUAGGGUAAAAGCAUACCAAGGCGACGAUGCAUAGCUGGUCUGGGAGGAGGACCAGCAACACUUGGACUGAGACACGGCCCAGACUCCUACGCGAGGCAGCAGAGGGGAACAUAGGACAAUGGGCGAAAGCCUGAUCCAGCAAUGCCGGGGGAGUGAUGAUUGCCUUUGGGUUCUAAUGUUCUUUUACCCGGGAUGAUAGUGACGGUACCGGGAGAAUAAGCACCGGCUAACUCCGUG